AAAAAAAAAAACUUGUGAAAUUAGAAAAAGAUGACCAUUUUCUUUGUUACAUACUGCAACUGUCUUCUUAUCUUUCUAGUCUGAAUUUUAAAUCAGCCAGGUAGGUGAGUGACUCAGAAAAUGAGUAGCUCAUACCAGCACCAUGGGAAGCACUGUGGUGCUGUGGACAGAUUUGUGCUGAAUAUUCCACUGUGCAGCCUGAGCCAUGGAACUCAACUCCUGGUGUCACUGACAGUGGAAGGCUAAUGGGAACUCCUCUGGCAGGGCUGUCUGACCCUGAGGUGCCGUCAGCCCAUACCUGGCAUGUAGUAGGCCCUCAGUUCAGUUCAGUUGCUCAGGCAUGUUCGACUGUUUGUGACCCCAUUUGAUGGGCCAUCCCUUCUGACCCAUCCAGGGGAGCUGUUUGUCUCAAACUGUUCCAAGUCUCUUGCCCUUAGCUGCCUUGGCAGCUCCUGCCAGCUUAUCCUCACUCAACAUCCACCAUACCUGCCUUCCUGUUUUCUUUCCAUUUUUGUCCAUCCCUACUCUUCCUUUGAUAGAGAUGCGUCACAAUGUCUUUUUCUAUAAUACUGUUCCUUUGUGAUAUUCCAUCUUUAGUGUAAUAGAUAUGCUGUUUCUUGCUCGGAAUCACCUUCGAGGACUUUUUAAAAAUUCAGAUCAGCAACUUUGAGUUGUAGAGGAGCGAAAACCAGGGCAAUGUAAAUAACUGGGUAGAGCUAGAGAGAGGGAAGGGAAGUUAACAGUGAAGAAGGCCCUGAAUGAGAGGGGCUGGGGAAGGAGAUGUAAACACCCACACUGGCCUGGGCCAGCUCUUGCUUCUUGGCUAGACCCUGUGGUCGGGGCCUGGCAGUGUCAGGGGCUUAUACUUAACUAUUCUAGUUUUCCACUGUCCUAGAACAUGCUGUAAAAGCUCAUGGCACAAAGGAUGCUAUAGCUUCUACCUUAUAACAAGGGGGCUAUGGAAAAGCACAAUGAAACCGUCAGGAUUGCUGAUCAUGUGAUAUAUUCCUGGAAAUUAAAAACCUUUAGGAAUUAACUCUUUUUAAUUGUCUCCACUAGCCCGCUUUUGACUGGACAAAUGUUGGAGAGAAUUGCCACAGAAUUUAAUCAGUUACAGUUUCAUGCUGUUGAAAGCAAAGUCUUGCCUCUUUUGGACAAAAUAAGACCAGUAACUGUUGUUUUAGAUUUUUCACACUUUAGUAUUUAGAAAUUUGCUAAAUAAUUCUGAUUUUACCUGGUACACGCAGACCUUGUUUUAUUGCCCUUAGAUUUAUUGUGUUUCACAGAUACUGCACUUUUUUUUUUUUAAUUGAAGGUUUAUUGCAGCUCUGCAUCAAGCAGGUCUAUCACCAUGCUAGUACCCUUUUAAGAGCACUUUCUCACUUCAAGUGCUGUUAUCUCUGUAUCUCAUUCUGGUAGUUUUCACAGUAUUUCAAACCUCCACCAACAAAAUGAUGAUAGCUUACUGAAGGUUCCCAUGAUGGUUGCAUUUUUUAGCAAUAAAGCAUGUUUUAAUUAAAGUAAUUAAGGUCUGUAUCUUGUUUUUUUUACACAUAAUGCUUUUGCCAGCUCAAUAUACUGUAUAUAGUUCAGUAUAAACAUACGCUUUAUAUCUGCUGAGAAUCCAAGAAACCCCCAUAACUGGCUUUAUUGUUCUAGUAGUCAAUUUAUUGUGAACCACACUUUAUUUAUUAGAACCACACUUGCAGUAUCGCCAAGGUAUGCCUGUAUUGUUCUGACAGUUGUUGAUCUGCAGGAUUUUGAAGCUAGCUUUGAAUUUUCUCUUUCAGUUUUUGUUUUUUAGGCCCCUGCCUCCUAAGUGUCGCACAUUAUAGAUUUUGUGUAAAGACACAGGCAUAUUCUCUGAGUUAUAAGGGUAAAAUUAAUUCUAAAUUUCAUGUAACUUGACACACUAUAUGAUUUAGUUAGAAUUAAUUUAUCCAAAACUCUUGACUGGACUUUAGAAUCAUGAUGUUUGUCAGAUUUACUCUGUAGCUUAAAAGCACCUCAUUCUGAAGUGAUAUCUAAAUCCUCCUUUGAUACAGCAAAGAUUAACUUACAAAGAGAUGUGAGAAGGAGGAGGAGAGAUUCAUUGUUCCUCUCCAGAAAAUGUUAAUAUUUAAUUUUACAUAUCUUCUGUUGGAAUAAGAAAUUUGUUAUGUGUGUGUUUGGAUCUUUAGAAAUGAUUACAACUGGAGCUUUUUAACCUGUCUUUCUUGCAGCAGAUAGCUGGUAUUACAGCCAUGUUACAACAGUCACUGGAAGGCCUCCUAUUAGAAGGUCUUCAGACUUCCCGUGUCAAUAUUAUUUGGCACUGCUUACGGACUUACACCACAAUUGACAAGACACGGGAUGCAGAGGCAUUAGUUGGUCAAGUCUUCGUGAAACUGUGAUUCUAGAGCAUAUUGUCGAUAGUCAUCUGACUGAUCUCCAGUUCAUGUAUGAUAAACUCUUGGAGUUCGUUCCCCAUCACUGCCGCCUUCUUCGAGAGGUCACAGGAGGAGCCAUCUCAAGAUUUAGAGAAAUAGCGGGAUCCUUAGAAGCAGCACUUACAGAUGUCCUGGAAGAUGCACCAAGACGUGGAGCAGCCUUCAGAGGUGCUGGCCUGACAAGAUGUUCUUGCUGCUGCUGGCUCAUCGUCUGUGGAGAUUGACACUGCAGAUUCUGGCGCGGUACUCCAUAUUUGUCAAGGAGGUGGAAACGUUUUAUCGCUGAAAUCCUUUUUCAGCUUUUACUCGGGCCCAUCUCUAAUGAAAGUGCUAAGGAUAUUAAAAAGCCUUUGGUAACUGGCAGCAAAGAUCUUUCUAUCACCCAAGGAAAUUGUGAAGACCAAGCAAGUGGCCCUUCUGAAACAAAGCCCAUCGUCUCCAUUUCCAGCACUCAACUUGUCUGUGUGGUCACAGACCUGGACAGGCUUCAGGAGCAGGUGAGCCUGUGUCUCAGAGGAUUCUAAGUGUGGGGUUCAGUGUUCUCACUGUCUGGCCUAAUGGGUUUAGACUUGUGGGCCCAGGGCCCCUAAGAGAGAGCAUCCUUUUCCCUCCCUCUGGUGUUGCCUCCACCCCUGACUGGCAUGCUGUCCUCCUUGGGGAGCAGCCUGUCUACCACAUGCCUGCCUGGAGCCCUGGCUUCCCCUGAGCAGUGACGCCACAGGCCAGGGCAAGCCAGGCCCUCAUUAGCUCAGCUCACUCUGUGGAGCCAUGGUCUUUAACAUUUUUUUUUACCAUUAACAGAACUUUGUUUAAGAACAGAAUGUGUUUAAGUGUUCUGAUACAUAAUUCUGCUUUUUUCAGGUUUAAGUGUUUUGUGGUGCUUGGACAAAUACUGUAUGUGUUGAGCAAAAACAUGGUCUUUAUCAUAAGGUUCUUUUGGUAUUGAGGGGAGCUACAGAAUAGUGUUAAUAGCUGUGAAAAUACGAUUUUCCAUGUUGUUGAAUUAUUUUCUACUGAAAGCAUUAAUUAAGAAUUUUGUUUUCUUCUGAUGAAAGUUAUUGAAAGUUUCAAGUAUAGUUUUAUCAUUAAUUAAUAACAUUCUAGAGCUGUAGGUGCAUAUAGAAUUGUCUCUUUGAUUAAUAAAAAGUAACUGAAUAUA